UCGAGCGAACGGACGAGAAGCUUGCUUCUCUGAUGUUAGCGGCGGACGGGUGAGUAACACGUGGAUAACCUACCUAUAAGACUGGGAUAACUUCGGGAAACCGGAGCUAAUACCGGAUAAUAUUUUGAACCGCAUGGUUCAAAAGUGAAAGACGGUCUUGCUGUCACUUAUAGAUGGAUCCGCGCUGCAUUAGCUAGUUGGUAAGGUAACGGCUUACCAAGGCAACGAUGCAUAGCCGACCUGAGAGGGUGAUCGGCCACACUGGAACUGAGACACGGUCCAGACUCCUACGGGAGGCAGCAGUAGGGAAUCUUCCGCAAUGGGCGAAAGCCUGACGGAGCAACGCCGCGUGAGUGAUGAAGGUCUUCGGAUCGUAAAACUCUGUUAUUAGGGAAGAACAUAUGUGUAAGUAACUGUGCACAUCUUGACGGUACCUAAUCAGAAAGCCACGGCUAACUACGUGCCAGCAGCCGCGGUAAUACGUAGGUGGCAAGCGUUAUCCGGAAUUAUUGGGCGUAAAGCGCGCGUAGGCGGUUUUUUAAGUCUGAUGUGAAAGCCCACGGCUCAACCGUGGAGGGUCAUUGGAAACUGGAAAACUUGAGUGCAGAAGAGGAAAGUGGAAUUCCAUGUGUAGCGGUGAAAUGCGCAGAGAUAUGGAGGAACACCAGUGGCGAAGGCGACUUUCUGGUCUGUAACUGACGCUGAUGUGCGAAAGCGUGGGGAUCAAACAGGAUUAG
rnacentral:rRNA from 1 species